rnacentral:lncRNA from 1 species
AAGACAGUGAAGAAGACGAAGAUGAUUAUAAUCACUACGACCAUUGCGGUGAAGAGAGUUGUAACGAAAAUCCGCUUGCUGAUGAUUAUACUGCAAAUUCUGCUCAAGAAGAAAAUAAUGUCAACAGUACCAAUCAUUUAAAAUACUGGGAUUCCGAUGAUACGGUUGACCAGCACGAAGAAUUCCCUCAGCAAUCACUGUAGCCUAAUGCCAAGGAAAAAGAAAAAACAAGAAAAAAAGGAUUGUUGCUGUUGUAAGCAUGAACAGUAGUGAAAAGGUUAAAACGCUGAAGCAAAAUAUUAUCUCUGUGAUUUUUCUUACGACUAUUACAUUUGUUUUGGGACUUGCUACUUCCAACUACAUGGACGCAUUGUCAUGAAGUAGUGAAUGAAUUCAAAGUAAUCUUAGUUUACUGCAACCA